GAGGGAGGGGGAGAGAGAGAGAGAGAGAGAGAGAGAGAGAGAGAGAGAGAAUCCCAAUUAGGGAUUCUCUCAGCAGGAAUGUCAGUGGGAGCCUGACAUGUGGCUCAAUUUCAAAAACUGUGAGCUAUGUCCUGAGCUGAUAUCAAGAGUCAGACCCUCAACCAACUGAGGCACCCAGGGGCCCCUCCAUAUAUAUAUGUUUUGUGAUAAUUUUUCCCAAUCUGUGACAUGCCUGUUCAUUCUUACUAAUUAUGUGUGUGAUUCUCUUCCUUUUCCUUCCUCUUCUAAUGGUAGCAGUUAUUCCCUUAUGAGGCUGCCAUAAAACAGAAAAUAGAGGGUAUAGAAAUCAGAGACUAUGCAUGAUUCACUUCCUGUAGGUUUCUGUACUCCUUCAAAAUAAAGAUUCUUAUACGUCACAAAUUCACUUUAUAGACAGUAAAUUCAGAUUACAUAUUAGAGUUAUACUGAUCCACAGCCUCAGUGUUUUUUGUUGUUUUUUAAUGAGCUAGUCAGGGGCCAGGCACAGAUCUCUAGUGAAGUUAACAGUGAGCAUUUUCCAUUUUUGGAUUCGUGGGUUUGAUCUCUUUAUUCAUGGAUCUUGUCAGUAGCACCUGUGCUUUAAUUUAUUUCUAUGACCAACCAGGUAGUAACUGUAAUCCUGCUGUUCUACCUAUGCUACGUGACAUGGGGUAGGCAAAAGACAUAUAGGAUUUGGCUUUUGCCUGCUGUAAUCUGAUAGCACACUUGAGCAGACAGGACCUGUGUGACUGCAACAUACCAUAGAAUAUCAAAGUGCAUAGUACAGACAUUUAGAAGAGAAUUUAGAUUUAAACAUGUGUCAACCAUUGAUACACAACAAGUGCACAGUAAGUAAAAAGGGAGAUUCUUAUUCCUUAUUUGGAGAUCGCAUUAUCCACCUUUUUUCAGCUUUUAUCUGAAAGUACUAUUUAUGUAUUUAUUUGCUUUCUUACAUUUUUGUCUGUCUACCCAUAUGAGUGUAAAUUUCAUGAGCUGCUCAGGUUUGCUAUGAGGAGAACACCUUGUAAACAAAUAGUUACACGUUUGUGGGAUAAAUGAUAUAUGAAAGGGGUAUUAUUUGUGCUAUUGAAACAUGGGCGAGCCUGUGGCCUGGCCUCAGCAUACAGAAAGAACUUUCUAGAAGAGCUAACAUUUGCCCUGUGCAGGAAAACCUCAAGCAUACAUUUACUGAAGUGGGUAGAUGGAUCAAAAGGAGUGCAUAUUUAACAUUUUGUUAGAUAUUGCUAACUUGCUACAUUGUGUUUUGAAGAAAGAGUAGGAGUUUAUCUGGCAGAGAAAGGUACAAGAAGGAUGCUAUUCUAGGUGCAGGGAACAGCAGGGGCGAAGACAUGGCGUGUACAAACAAUUGUGCAGUUUGGUGGGAUGUGUGGUGGGGAAUGGCCAGACACAGGACUGUAAAAGAAUUUUGGGCCAAGUUAAGACUUGGGUGCGCUAAAGGCAGUAGGGGCAGAUCUCUCAGUGGAAGUAAUUUACAUCAAACUUUAAAAUGUGAAUAGGAUGUGAGGUAAAGAUGAGCAGGGACAUGGAUUCAUUGCUGUGGAUUGUAUCUUACCUUCCCCCCCCCCCCCUUAUUUCCUGGAUGCCUGCCUUACCUUCCCACCAUUUAUUGAGUACCUGUUACUUGCCAGUCACUAUUCUAGGCACUGAAGAGAACGAGGCAAAGUUCUGCUUUCAUGGAACUUGCAUUUUAGCGGAGGAGAUACAGAAUGAACAGGUGAAAGAAGGAGAGGAAGGAAAGAAGGAAAUCCAGAUGAUGCCAUGGAGGGAAUUGUGAAGUGAAGUCCGAGUGCAGGGUCAUUGCAUGAAACAUGGUCACUGUUGCAUCCUUUUGCUCCAGCUGAGUCGUGCCCACCUGCGUCUUCAAUCUUUGCGUUGACAGCUACAUUGUUCCACUCUCCAAAAGACGAAGGACCUCUCAGAUUGUGCUCCUUACCUCAUAAUGAGAAUUAGCAGCAGGCCUGGAUGGAUUCGUAAGCAAUGUGAGCCUGCUCUCCUGCAAAUGUCUUUAAUAAUAGAUGAUGAGAAAGGCAGAAGGUGGCACCUGCAAAGUGCAUCAGACACAGCAUCAUUGGAGACUCUUGCCAACACCAGUUCUCCUGGUCCAGUCACCAGUUGUGACGUUUCAACAUGGCUGCUCCUGUUUUCCUCCCAGCGCUGGUACCAAAUGGCUGU